ACAUCUGUUAAGCAACGGUUAUUGAACAAGUCCGUAAUUUAGACGAACGCGGUUAUAAUAUAAAACUAGUGUAGACAUGGCUUCUAUUGCUGCAUUAUUCAGGAAAGCUUGGGUACAAGAUCCAACAGUUUGUGUUGCUAUUGUUUUAGGAGUUUCCAGCGUUCCUCUUUUUUUUUUUGGACCAUAUACUAAAAAAUCAGAUGAAGAAAUGAAAAAUUGGCCGUCCAUGCAUAAUUUUUAUAAUCUUCCUACUCAAAAAAGUCUAAUUUAUGAGACAAUGCCCGAAAGAAAGCAAGAUAUACCUCGUUGGGCACCGCCAAGUUAUGACGAUUGAAAAAUUUAGUAGCAGCUAUUUUAUAGCUAUUUUAUUUUUUUGAUUGAAUACUUCUUGAUAAUUUUAUUAAUAAUUAUUAUAUUAUUGUAUAAUUAUAUUAUUAAUAUUAUAAUAUUAGUAAAUUAUUAUAUAAUUUUAUUGAUAAUUAUUAUAUAAGUAAUUAUUGAUAGUUUUAGUGUUUUUGUUGUUGUUGUUUUCUUUCUUUAUAGAAUGAUCUAUAAAUUUGUUAA